UACAGAGGAUGCAAGCGUUGUCCGGAAUCAUUGGGCGUAAAGAGCGUGUAGGCGGCCUGGUAAGUCCGCUGUGAAAGUCCAGGGUCAACCCUGGAAUGCCGGUGGAAACUGUCGAGGCUCGAGUCCGGAAGAGGCGAGUGGAAUUCCUGGUGGUAGCGGUGAAAUGCGCAGAUAUCAAGGAGGAACACCAAUGGCGAAGGCAGACUCGCUGGGACGGUAACUGACGCUGGAGACGCGAAAGCGUGGGGAGCAAACAAG
rnacentral:rRNA from 1 species